rnacentral:rRNA from 1 species
GGGCACUCUAAGUUGACUGCCGGUGACAAACCGGAGGAAGGUGGGGAUGACGUCAAAUCAUCAUGCCCCUUAUGAUUUGGGCUACACACGUGCUACAAUGGACAAUACAAAGGGUAGCGAAACCGCGAGGUCAAGCAAAUCCCAUAAAGUUGUUCUCAGUUCGGAUUGUAGUCUGCAACUCGACUAUAUGAAGCUGGAAUCGCUAGUAAUCGUAGAUCAGCAUGCUACG